GAUGAACGCUGGCGGCGUGCUUAACACAUGCCAGUCGAACGGGAAACCUUUUAAUGAAGCUUCGGCAGAUUUAGCUGGUUUCUAGUGGCGGACGGGUGAGUAACGCGUGGGUAACCUGCCUUAUACAGGGGGAUAACAGUCAGAAAUGACUGCUAAUACCGCAUAAGCGCACAGGACCGCAUGGUCCGGUGUGAAAAACUCCGGUGGUAUAAGAUGGACCCGCGUUGGAUUAGCUUGUUGGUGGGGUAACGGCUCACCAAGGCGACGAUCCAUAGCCGGCCUGGGAGGGUGACCGGCCACAUUGGGACUGAGACACGGCCCAGACUCCUACGGGAGGCAGCAGUGGGGAAUAUUGCACAAUGGGGGAAACCCUGAUGCAGCGACGCCGCGUGAAGGAAGAAGUAUCUCGGUAUGUAAACUUCUAUCAGCAGGGAAGAUAGUGACGGUACCUGACUAAGAAGCCCCGGCUAACUACGUG
rnacentral:rRNA from 1 species